rnacentral:rRNA from 1 species
AUGUUGAUGUACUAUUCUCUUCUUAAUAUAUUUAUAUACACGCAGCUCUCAUGUAUGUUCUCGGAAAAGGUAACGAGUUUUUCCUACAUUCAAGCAUUGCAAUUUAAAGUAAGGUUUCAGCCAUUAUUUGUUAGCAGAAAUCCAGUGAUCUAUAUGCAAACAAUCUCUCUGUUAUUAGUAAUCUUGUGGGACAUUGUAUAUUUCUUAGCUAUUUGUAUGUUUCACUUGGCAGCAAGUAUCAUUAUACCGCUUGAGAAGACUAAAGCAUGGGAGAUUGUGGUUUCCAAAUCAGAGAAUUGUGGUCUUGAAGUUGUUGGUAAAAGGUAA